AGAGUUUGAUCAUGGCUCAGGAUGAACGCUGGCGGCGUGCCUAACACAUGCAAGUCGAACGGGGUUAAGUGAAAUUUUCGGAUGGAACUUAACUUAGUGGCGGACGGGUGAGUAACGCGUGGAUAACCUGCCUCACACAGGGGGAUAGCAGCUGGAGACGGCUGGUAAUACCGCAUAAGACCACGGUGCCGCAUGGCACAGGGGUAAAAGAUUUAUCGGUGUGAGAUGGAUCCGCGUCUGAUUAGCCAGUUGGCGGGGUAACGGCCCACCAAAGCGACGAUCAGUAGCCGGCCUGAGAGGGUGAACGGCCACAUUGGGACUGAGACACGGCCCAAACUCCUACGGGAGGCAGCAGUGGGGAAUAUUGCACAAUGGGCGCAAGCCUGAUGCAGACCAACGCCGCGUGAGUGAAGAAGUAUUUCGGUAUGUAAAGCUCUAUCAGCAGGGAAGAAAGGCCCUUCGGGGAGAUGACGGUACCUGACUAAGAACGCCCCGGCUAACUACGUGCCAGCCGCCGC
rnacentral:rRNA from 1 species